rnacentral:tRNA from 1 species
GCCCCUGUAGCUCAAUUGGACAGAGCGGUCCCGUCCUAAGGGAAAGGUUGCAGGUUCGAUUCCUGCCAGGGGCG